AGCAGCCGCGGUAAUUCCAGCUCCAAUAGCGUAUAUUAAAGUUGUUGCAGUUAAAAAGCUCGUAGUUGAAUUUCGGGGUCAGUAGUUUGGUCGUGCCAAUGGUAUGUACUGGGCUCACUGAUUCCUCCUUCCUGAUGAACUGUAAUGCCAUUAAUUUGGUGUUGCAGGGAAACUGGACCGUUACUUUGAAAAAAUUAGAGUGUUUAAAGCAAGCUAACGCUUGAAUACAUUAGCAUGGAAUAAUGAAAUAGGACGUUCGAUCCUAUUUUGUUGGUUUCUAGGAUUGACGUAAUGAUUAAUAGGGAUAGUUGGGGGCAUUAGUAUUCAAUUGUCAGAGGUGAAAUUCUUGGAUUUAUUGAAGACUAACUACUGCGAAAGCAUUGCCAAGGAUGUUUUCAUUAAUCAAGAACGAAAGUUAGGGAUCGAAGACGAUCAGAUACCGUCGUAGUCUUAACCAUAAACUAUAGCCGACGUAGGGAUCGGUAUGUAUGUUAAUUUUUUAUGUACUCAGUUCGGACUC
rnacentral:rRNA from 1 species